rnacentral:rRNA from 1 species
GACGAACGCUGGCGGCGUGCUUAACACAUGCAAGUCGAACGGAAAGGCCCUGCUUUUGUGGGGUGCUCGAGUGGCGAACGGGUGAGUAACACGUGAGUAACCUGCCCCUGACUUUGGGAUAACUCCAGGAAACUGGGGCGAAUACCGGAUAGGAGCUCCUGCUGCAUGGGGGGGGUUGGAAAGUUUCGGCGGUUGGGGAUGGACUCGCGGCUUAUCGGCUUGUUGGGGGGGUAGUGGCUGCCCAAGGCUUUGACGGGUAGCCGGCCUGGGAGGGUGACCGGCCUCAUUGCGCCUGAGGUACGGCCCAGACUCCUACGGGAGGCAGCAGUGGGGAGUAUUACACAAUGGGCGGAAGCCUGAUGCAGCGACGCCGCGUGCGGGAUGACGGCCUUCGGGUUGUAAACCGCUUUCGCCUGUGACGAAGCGUGAGUGACGGUAAUGGGUAAAGAAGCACCGGCUAACUACGUG